GACGAACGCUGGCGGCGUGCCUAAUACAUGCAAGUCGAGCGCAGGAAACCGUCUGAACCCUUCGGGGGGACGACGGCGGAAUGAGCGGCGGACGGGUGAGUAACACGUAAAGAACCUGCCCACGGGUCUGGGAUAACCACGAGAAAUCGGGGCUAAUACCGGACGGGUCAUCGGACCGCAUGGUCCGAGGAUGAAAGGCGCUCCGGCGUCGCCCGUGGAUGGCUUUGCGGUGCAUUAGCUAGUUGGUGGGGUAACGGCCCACCAAGGCGACGAUGCAUAGCCGACCUGAGAGGGUGAUCGGCCACACUGGGACUGAGACACGGCCCAGACUCCUACGGGGGUCAGCAGUAGGGAAUCUUCCACAAUGGACGAAAGUCUGAUGGAGCAACGCCGCGUGAACGAUGAAGGCCCUCGGGUCGUAAAGUUCUGUUGUAAGGGAAGAACAAGUGCCGCAGGCAAUGGCGGCACCUUGACGGUACCUUGCGAGAAAGCCACGGCUAACUACGUGCCAGCCGCCGCCGUGAAAC
rnacentral:rRNA from 1 species